GGAAAUAAACUUAAUUUCUCAAAGAUCUAAUGAAAAAUAAAUGCAGCUGAUUGCCAAAAUAUCCGCAGGCUAAUUUUGCGCAAAAGCGGAAAUUGAUAUUUUAUGCUUCUCUUUCUUUUUUUCCUUUUGUUUUGAUAUAUGUGUAUAAAAUGACCAGAAAUUAAAAAGCUCUGACUAAUGAUUUAAUGAAAUCCAUUCUAAAUUUUAGGUCUUUAAAGAAAAUUGCUGGAUAUAUGGGUUCUUAUGGUGUUUUCUCCAAGGUUUUGAAUCAUGGCAGAGUAUUGGCAGAAUUCAGUGCAGCGGCCUCCCCAUGUUCUGUGCAGAUUUGAUAGCCUGCGGUACUGAUUUUGAAAAGCAAGCUUGCUUUCUGAGAUAAAUGGUUAAAAAUAGACCAAACAAAAGCAGAGUUGCCAUUCACUGAUAACACUAAAAAGGCACACUUUGGCAGUUUCCGUUAACUUCUUCGAAAUCAACACAGAGAAACUAAAUAUGAAAUGGAUGACUGAAGAUAUGUCACUUCUCAGUUAUUUUCCAGCGUAAAACAACAAAAGAAAGCCAGUUACUGACGUGACUGUGAGCACAUUGCUUCAAGAUGAAUGCUGUGCACGGGAGAUGGCUCCCACAGACAGUGGUUGUCUUUGUGCCGGCGUGGGAUGGAGCUGUAUCAACCAUCGCAUACCAUGGUGCAGCCAUGCCACAUAAAAGAAAGAAAGAUUGAGAGCAGAGUCAAGAUGAAGAGAAUAGGAGCCUGAUCCUGCUUUGUCACGUGGGAAUCCCUCUUUUUCAGGAGGACUGGGCCCUGCUGCUUAUGGGACCUUCAUCCCAUGAGUGGCCAUUCUCCCAUGGGUGGUCACAUUGUCUUCAUUGAUCUCAGUGGUAAUUUUUAUAUGGGUUAGGGUCAUGACAACUGGCACUGACAGUAAUACAUCACCGCCAAAUUAGAAUUUCUAAAAGAAAACAAGCAAGUUAAAAUUGCACGUUCAGGAAAGUACUUUAUUUACUUCCUACAUUACAGCAACAGAAUUUAACAUUACAGGAGGUUUAAAAAUACAUUUGCAUAACACCGAAGUUAUCAGUCUAGACUCCCCAUCUGUUGAAUGCCUCGUUAGUGAGUAGCUGUAGCACUUCGGUAUUUCACUUAAACAUCAUGAAAAAAAUGGUAAUAAUUUCUCUAUGCUAUUCUGCUACUAAUGAAACUUCAAAGCCAUGAAUGCAUAUGUUUAUAUUCAAUCUCUAUUUAUAUACUUAAACACAGACACUAGCACUAUGCAUAUUAAUGUGCCAAUAUGUGCUCCAGCAAUGCGUACAUUAACUUACAUGCAUAUUCAUAUAAAGGGUUGAGCUUGAUGGAAGCUUGGUCCUAAGCUUCAUACAGACCUUGAAUCAAACCCUUAGUUUUUAAUAAGGUAGGGCCAAAUUUAAUGGGGCCAAAUUUCCAGGAAUUCGUUUGGAUCAUUGUUGCUUUUGUAUUUGUUUUUUCUUAAGCAUAAGUUUUGCAUACAGGUGUUCUUCUGUUGACUCUGUAGUGCUUCCACACUCUCUUGUCCAUUCUCCUUUGUCUCUGUUGUUUUCAGUGUGUUUUAAUCAUGCAUUGUAAUCCCCUAUGCCGUUAUAACUGAUUAAUUAGCAGCCCCUCCGAUUCGGGCUCUGAAUCGUUCUCUUAUGCUCAGAUCAUUUAUAACUUUAGCUGAAAAGACAAGUUUGAACAUCUCCCUUGCAAUUCAUCUCUUUGCUUUGUGUAACUACCAUGAUUAUUGUUUAUUCUUUAUUAUGAGUGGGUUUUUCUAAGGAUGAAAUGUUAACUCUCUGUUAUCUUGGCUCUUAACCUGCAAUUAAAUCCCAUCAAAUAGGCUGAUAGGAAAUAAUGUAAAGUCAGAGAAUCCACUACUCAUGUUUCUUUGUAGGUUUGGGGACUUCAAAUGUCCAUUUUUUCUCCAAAGAUUAACUUAAGGAAACUGCAACUAGAAGAAUUGAAUGACAAAUCAAUUAUUUUGCAGAGCUUUCAUUUGCUUAUAAUCUCAAAUUUUCUUUACAGAUAUGUGGGAUAGAAGCAUGCCUGUAUUUGUAUAUGCGUGAAGAGUAAACAAAUCUGACAUUUUCCUUGAACAUUAGGAUGACAAAAUCUAUGGUUUUCAGAAAAUCACAUGGCAGGACCUGCAUGUGUACCAGUAGCCUUGGCUGCAGCAGUUGCAGAGCUGGACAGUCCAGGGGAAGCGCUGUGUCCCAGGAGGAUGGGCUGGGCAGGAGCUGGUGGUUCAGGUAACACGCAAGGGGACAGAGGGCAGUGGCAACAAAGCUGAAACUCGUGUCCUUAACAAAGAGAUUGCAGGCUGCAGGACUUCUGGUGGCAGAGAAGAUCUGUCCUCCUCAGAAGUUCCUACCUGAACUUCCCUCAACUCUUUGUCCAGAUUUCCUUGUGAAGUCCAAUGCUCAGAGCUUGUGAAGGAAGCACUUUUCUCCAUUACAUUUGCCCUAUGCGUAUUUUUUGAAGCAGAUGGGGUCAAGAUAUCAAGAGAUUGAAGGGGGAUCAAAUACCCAUUUGCCACUAGCUACUUCAAGCAUGAAACCAUGAGAGCACAGCAUGAAGGAAUAGCAGAGGAGAAAUUUUGCCAAGGCAGUGUUUUUCAGGACAGAUAGAAUAGUGAAGGAUAAAAUACUUCAUUGCUCCUCCCACCUACUGUCCCAGUCACCCUGUCAAGCACCAGCUAGCAGCACAAAGAUUUAUUUCUCUAGAAGGAACUGGUUGUCUCCAAGUGUCACACAAUUUAUGCAGCAAUUACCUGUUCACUUUCUACUGCAGUUAAUGCCCAUGUGGACUCAUUCUCUGAGUCCAAAGAUCUGCAUUCUCUUCAGCCCAAACAGAGCCAAAGAGAGAUACUGAGACUGUCCUGAACAUAGAAUCACAGAAUAUCCUGAGGGUAGGAACCCACAAAGAUCUCGAAGCCCAACCCAUGGCUCCACACAGCACUGUCCGAAAAUCAGACCAUACGUCUGAGAGCUUUGAUCUCCACCAGAAAAGGGAUGGCCUGCAGGGACAGGGUGGUGAUUGUCUCUCUACUCUGCCCUUGUGAGGCCCCAUCUGGAGUACUUCGUCCAGGUCUGGGGGCCCCAGUACAGGAAAGGUGUGGAGCUGUUGGUGCGGGUCCAGUGGUGGGCCACGAAGAUGAUCAGACAUCUGGAGCACCUCUCCUAUGAAGACAGGCUGAGGGAGCUGGGCUUGUUCAGCCUGGAGAAGGCUGAGAGGAGACCUCAUUGCAUCCUUUCAGUAUUUAA